rnacentral:rRNA from 1 species
AUGGGCUCGCGGCCUAUCAGCUUGUUGGUGAGGUAAUGGCUCACCAAGGCGUCGACGGGUAGCCGGCCUGAGAGGGUGACCGGCCACACUGGGACUGAGACACGGCCCAGACUCCUACGGGAGGCAGCAGUGGGGAAUAUUGCACAAUGGGCGGAAGCCUGAUGCAGCAACGCCGCGUGAGGGAUGACGGCCUUCGGGUUGUAAACCUCUUUUAGCAGGGAAGAAGCGAAAGUGACGGUACCUGCAGAAAAAGCGCCGGCUAACUACGUGCCAGCAGCCGCGGUAAUACGUAGGGCGCAAGCGUUAUCCGGAAUUAUUGGGCGUAAAGAGCUCGUAGGCGGUUUGUCGCGUCUGCUGUGAAAUCCGGAGGCUCAACCUCCGGCCUGCAGUGGGUACGGGCAGACUAGAGUGCGGUAGGGGAGAUUGGAAUUCCUGGUGUAGCGGUGGAAUGCGCAGAUAUCAGGAGGAACACCGAUGGCGAAGGCAGAUCUCUGGGCCGUAACUGACGCUGAGGAGCGAAAGGGUGGGGAGCAAACAGGCUUAGAUACCCUGGUAGUCCACCCCGUAAACGUUGGGAACUAGUUGUGGGGUCCAUUCCACGGAUUCCGUGACGCAGCUAACGCAUUAAGUUCCCCGCCUGGGGAGUACGGCCGCAAGGCUAAAACUCAAAGGAAUUGACGGGGACCCGCACAAGCGGCGGAGCAUGCGGAUUAAUUCGAUGCAACGCGAAGAACCUUACCAAGGCUUGACAUAUACGAGAACGGGCCAGAAAUGGUCAACUCUUUGGACACUCGUAAACAGGUGGUGCAUGGUUGUCGUCAGCUCGUGUCGUGAGAUGUUGGGUUAAGUCCCGCAACGAGCGCAACCCUCGUUCUAUGUUGCCAGCACGUAAUGGUGGGAACUCAUGGGAUACUGCCGGGGUCAACUCGGAGGAAGGUGGGGAUGACGUCAAAUCAUCAUGCCCCUUAUGUCUUGGGCUUCACGCAUGCUACAAUGGCCGGUACAAAGGGCUGCAAUACCGCGAGGUGGAGCGAAUCCCAAAAAGCCGGUCCCAGUUCGGAUUGAGGUCUGCAACUCGACCUCAUGAAGUCGGAGUCGCUAGUAAUCGCAGAUCAGCAACGCUGCGGUGAAUACGUUCCCGGGUCUUGUACACACCGCCCGUCAAGUCAUGAAAGUCGGUAACACCUGAAGCCGGUGGCCUAACC